rnacentral:rRNA from 1 species
GACGAACGCUGGCGGCGUGCUUAACACAUGCAAGUCGAACGGAAAGGCCCUGCUUUUGUGGGGUGCUCGAGUGGCGAACGGGGGAGUAACACGUGAGUAACCUGCCCUUGACUUUGGGAUAACUUCAGGAAACUGGGGCUAAUACCGGAUAGGAGCUCUUGCUGCAUGGUGGGGGUUGGAAAGUGUCGGCGGUUGGGGAUGGACUCGCGGCUUAUCAGCUUGUUGGUGGGGUAGUGGCUGCCCAAGGCUUUGACGGGUAGCCUGCCUGGGAGGGUGAACGGGCACAUUGGGACUGCGGGACGGACCAGUAGCCAACGGGACGCAACAGUGGGGAACCUUACGGAGUGGGGGGGAGCCUGAUACAGAGACGCCCGGUGCGGAAUGACGGCCUUCGGGUUGUGAACCGAUUUCGACUUUGACGAAGAGUGAGUGACGGUAAUGGGUAAAGAAGCACCGGCUAACUACGUG